GCUAAGUGUUCUGACUUCAAAUGUUUAUUGAGCAAGCCCGACUUUGUGGUGACCUUGGCAAUCCCUCCAUUAGCAUUUCCGCAGUGCCCCAGGUUUGCAAUGACACGCUCCAUUCCUCCAGAAGUCUUCAUUCCUGUGGCGCCAAGGCUGGGAAACUUCAGAGGGCCAGGCUGUUCUGUAGCUAACGUCAAUGUGGAAUCUGCCUAAGCCUUGACUAAUGUAUUCUUUGCAUUAUUAAACACAGAUUAAAUAUAUAUGGAUAUUUAAAUGUAAUGUGUUAUUUUCCUAAAUCUAACUUUACUCGAUGUUCCUUUGAUUUACGCCUUUU
rnacentral:lncRNA from 1 species